rnacentral:tRNA from 1 species
GCGCGGUUAGCUCAGUUGGUUAGAGCGUGUCUUUGACGUAGACAAGGCCAGGGGUUCGAAUCCCUUACCGCGCA